rfam:Cavia porcellus supercont2_94 genomic scaffold, whole genome shotgun sequence.
GGGGCUUUAGCUCAGUGGCAUGGGCGCCUGCCUUGCAAGCAGGCAGAUGUGAGUUCGAUCCCUGGUACCA